CUGCUGCCUCCCGUAGGAGUUUGGGCCGUGUCUCAGUCCCAAUGUGGCCGGCACCUCUCAGGUCGGCUACUGAUCGUCGCCUUGGUGGGCCGUUACCUCACCAACCAGCUAAUCAGACGCGGAUCCAUCCCAUACCACCGGAGUUUUUCACACCGGACCAUGCGGUCCUGUGCGCUUAUGCGGUAUUAGCAGUCAUUUCUAACUGUUAUCCCCCUGUAUGAGGCAGGUUAUCCACGCGUUACUCACCGUCCG
rnacentral:rRNA from 1 species